AGGUGGGGCACGUGCCACAGCUCAAGAUGGGAGCAGGAGAGAAAAUUUCUCACCUGCCACAUUUCUACUCCUUGGUUUAAAAUGUGAACAAUCUUCUUACAAAAUGAGGAAGCUCUACCCAACUGUGCUCCUUUGUCUCUCAAGGCAACCACUAGAUUAAUCCUGUGAGGCAGAAAGCUUCCCCUUCCACCUGCAGCCUCCAGUCUUCUCCGGGAGGGUCGUGUGGCAUCUCUGUCACAACUGCACGGUCCCUAAGAUGGCAGGCUAAUUGCCUCGAGGAUCAAGCUUGUCUUCACACAAGGCCACUUAAAGACUCAAGGGCACAGUAUACCUGUUUCUGCUAUGGUUGCCAUGCUUGGGUUCUGAUGAUUCUCUUUCAUGGCUGACUUGAUCCACUGUUGACUGAGCUCUGUUAAAUCAAAUGUGUCCUGUACAAGCACCAGGCCCUCUGCAAGUACCCCUACAGAGGAAGAGAAGAAGGAAAGAUUUGUUGAGAUGGAGACCGCAGAAGCAGAUAGCAGCGAUCCCUGGCUGCAGCCCGGAGACGCUGGAGGAAGGCGCGAAAGGUUACGUGAAAGAGGAUCAUUAAUAUUCAUGGCAGCAUCUGGCACUAUGUUGCCAGGAGACAGUAAUGAGAACAGAGCAUCUUCCAGGUCUAAUGGCACUGCGGCUGCCACAUCAAUCCCAACGUCCUCAGAAAUGAGAUCUCUAUCAUUUGCAAACAGGGAAACGUUGGUGGCUUGGCUGUCAUUCCAGAAGGUCACUAAAAGAUAUGCAGAUGAGCUGCCCAUAUUUCUUGGGCUCAUACCCACCAGGUUCCCUGCACUGCUUCGCCUUUUCAGGGACACCAUCUGACAAGGCAAAUUAUACAGGGGUAGAGGGAACUGGGUAUCUGCUCUUGACCCUGGGAACACUUUGUGAACUUCUGUCCUCAUUGAUUGGGUUUCCCUACAGAGAGUUGCUACAUGAACUUCUUUGGAGGAAUUUAUCCUUGUCAAUUUUGUGCUCUCAAAACUUGUGUGAACAUUUUAGCUUCCCCAGCUGUAAGCUCUAAGCCCUGUUCUUCCUCAGUUUCUCCCAGGAACAGGCCCUAAAACAAAGAUUCAAUUUACAGUGUUCAUUACUUCCCCUUGUUAUGGGGAUUCUAAGUGGGAGAGUCAUUUCAAGAUCUCAUCUGUGUCUACUCACUCCCUACUGGGGCCAGAGCUUUUCCUUACAUGUUUAGGGGCCAAGUAGGUAUAAAGCUCCUUUUACAUUUGUAUCAAAAAUUCUCAGUUCCCUACCAUUUUAAAACACACCUUCCCAUGUUAUGCUCAGCACAACUUGGCGGAUUAUUUAUUUUGUGUUUGCUACGUAUGGAUGUGGACACAUGGUAAACAAAAUUCAAGGUAGAAUUAUCUUCCAGUAGGGUGGUGAGGAAAACAGACAAUGAGCAAACAUAUACAUAAGUUCAUUUCUUCAUUCAUUUAGUCAUAGUUUCAGCAAAAAGUUAUUGAUCACCUAUUCUGUUUGAGGCAUCCUUCUAUGCCUGGAGAUGCAGCAUAGAAUGAAACAAAAUUCUGCUUUCUUAAAGAUUAUGACUUAGGAGGGGACAAUGAAAGCUUAAAAAUAGAAAUCCAUCAUAAGUGGAAAUAAAUUCAAUGAACCAAAAUAAGACAAGAAGAAUGCUUGAGGCAUGGCUAUACUAUUUUACCUGGUGAUCAGGGAAGCCCUCUCAGAGGAGGUGACGUUGAGCAAAAACAUGAAGAAGUCACCAAACACUGGCACACUGAGCCAGCUCAUAUAGGCUCCCAGGAACUGAUCGGGCACAGCUCUUCUCAACUUCCUGUUCAAUGACGUCAUGUUGGAAGCUUAAAAUCAACCACCGUGGAUUUGUACACCACAGAUCAGUAAAUGCUAUGAAUCGUGACUUUUUUUUCGGUCAGCUAUUAAGUAUUUAUCAAUACCCAAUUGCAUGCAAAUACCCAGGGAAGGAGUCUUUUUGGCAGAAAGAGCAUCCGGUAUGAAGGCCCUUGGAUUGCAAGAAUGCUUUAUUAGUUGAGAAAUGUCAAAAGGAUACUAUGUCUAGGACAGUGGUCCUCACCACCUACGACAUUUUUAGACUUACAAAUUUUGGGGCUCCACCUCAGACCUACUGAAUUGGAAACUCUGAGGCCCAGAAAUCUGUAUUAAAAACCCUCCCAGUGACUCUGCUGCAGAAGAAAGUUUGACAACCACUAGUCUAGACUAAGCACAGUUGCCAACCAGGUGAGUAGUGGGAAGCAAGAUUAGAGAAUGAUGGCUGAUCACAGGGGCCUUCUGGCUCUGAUAAGGACUUGUGAUGGUCAAUUUUAUGCAUCAAUUUGACAGGACCACAGUGACCAGAUAUUUGGUCAAACAUUAUUCUGGAUGUUUCUGUGAGAGUGUUUUUGGAUAAGAUUUACAUUUAAAUUGCUGGAUUUUGAGAAAAACAGAUUGUGUCUCACAAUGUAGGUGAUCCUCAUUCAAUUAGUUGAAGGCCUUAACAGAACAAAAGACUGACUUCCUUGAGCAACGAGCAGCUCUGCCAGCAAAUGGCCUUUGGAUUUGAGCGACUGUAAUAGCUCUUCCUUGGGUCUUUAGCAUGAUGAUCCACCCUGUAGAUUUUGAUGUUGCCAGCCUCUGUAAUCACGCAAGUCAAUUCCUUAGAAUAAAUCUUUUUCUC